UACGAAGGGAGCUAGCGUUGUUCGGAAUCACUGGGCGUAAAGCGCACGUAGGCGGAUGUGUCAGUCAGGGGUGAAAUCCCGGAGCUCAACUUCGGAACUGCCUUUGAUACAGCACGUCUUGAGUCCGAUAGAGGUGGGUGGAAUUCCUAGUGUAGAGGUGAAAUUCGUAGAUAUUAGGAAGAACACCGGUGGCGAAGGCGGCCCACUGGAUCGGUACUGACGCUGAGGUGCGAAAGCUAGGGUAGCAAACAGG
rnacentral:rRNA from 1 species